rnacentral:lncRNA from 1 species
CCUGGUUUUACGCUGAAGGCAGCAUCUCCCACUUCACAAACUGUUCAUAGGAAUAGUCUUUCCUCUACAUUCCUUUUCAAAGAACUUUUGUGCACCCUGAAUUGGAGGUGGAGUAGUAAGCUGUGAAAAAUACAUUGUGUGCGGAGGCUGCCAAGAAGAGUGAUUUUAAGGAGGCUAUGCUGAAAUCUCUCUGGGUCUGGGCCUCCCACUGUUGAUAAGAAAGAUGCUUUCCCAAACGUAUGGGGAGGGCAUCUUUCACAUGAGAAUUUCGUCUCCUGCUUUUAAGACAUGGAAUGGCGAUCAGCUUAAAGCCAGAGCAAUGCCUUUGGGGUGGUGGGCUCUUAGCUCCUUCAGGAUCACGCCACAGAAGGAAAUCGGUGAGCACCUGCUCCCGCCCUCAGAAAAAGCUGCAGUUUCUUAGGGAGUGACAGCUGUUCAUGCCAGCUUUGGGGGCACUUCCCAUCUGGAGCAAAGGAGGUCAACUUCGAACAGCACGAAGCCAGCUGCUUCCCAAGGUAAGAAAUGUCAACAAAAUUCAAGUGACCAAACUCUCCGUUUUGAAGAUGGGGACUCUCAGUUUGGGGACAGGCCACACCGCUUCAAGAGAGCAUGGGGUUCUGCACCCGCACCUCUGAGCCCUCCUUUCAAAGGACGCAUUUGGUUCUUGCCUCGUUGGAAAGGCAGGUGGAGCUUCAUUUAAGGAAUAAUGACCCUGCCAUUACUGGCCAUUUUGGGCUUGAUUCAUUUUCCUUUCCAUAAACUCAGCCAAAGAGAGUCAAAGGCUUCCUUUAAGACACUCUCUUUUCUGUACUUGGACCUGCAGUGUGGCCCCUGGGAGGUGGACAAUGACUUCACUCUCAGCUCACAGCAUCCUUGCGUUCUGUGUCAGGGGAGCAAAAUCCCAUGUGAACUGGGCACCCUCCCUUUCCACAGACAUUAACCCCCAAACGUGAGAGCGGGCUCCCAGCCACCUGGAAGGCAGCAGCAUCCACGCCGCCGGAGCUGGUGUCUGAGGGGCAGAUGGCAUGGACAGGCUCCUCCCUUCAGGCAUUGCUAUGUCCUGGGAAGGAACAGAGAGAGGAAUACAAGGAUGAUGGGAGUCAAUUCAGUAAUUCCAAGUGGGACAUUAACAUGCCAGCCCUCUGCUCACUGAGGGACAGAGUGGUCUGCCCAGAGGAAGCAUGGUAGCCUGGGCCCGAGCUGCGGGACUGAGUGGCUGCCCUCCUGAAACCCACCCUCCUCUGUCCAAGAGCAGGAGCUGUGUUCAGCUGGGCAAGGCUGAUGACUGAAGCCUGGCUGCUGGUGCCUGGGAAUAAAUCAGAGGCUGACGAUGGUCACUGGAGAAGAACAGCAACAAGGCAUCAGUGACGAUUGCCACCUGUCAGUCGCCUCCUCAGAACCACAUCCUGAGCUGAGCUGUGACUAACUUGACCUCUGCACCUCUGUGAAAAAGGAUAUGGCUGCCCGUUUUCCAGCAAGGAAUGAGGACUGAGGGCAGCUCUUGGCUUUGGUUGGCCAGGGCUUGAACCUUCUG